rnacentral:lncRNA from 1 species
UUCUCUGCUAACAGAACAACAGAUAGAUAUGGAAUAUAUAAAGUGACAGUGCCAGAGGUUGAUGGUGUUGAUUGUGCGGUGGGAUCGACAAUUGAAUUAGUAUGCCAGGCAAGUUUAAUACGGAGCUCAUAUCCAGCCUGCAACGUUCCUGGUUUAAAGAUGUCAACAGACGUGAUAUCAGUCAAGUCAAAGCAGAACAAUCUCUGUAUUUACAGCAUGAAUGCUUUGAGUUACAGACCUUCCAAAAAAAAUGCUACCUUGUGUGGGAAACACAAAGAAGAGUUGCAGAUUUCUUUCAACUCUUCAAAGUUUUUUCUCCCUUACUCCCCACCCUAUGGGUUCCCAUGGCAUACCUUGCCUAACAUGUCACCAUCACCCUUCCCUCCAUUACCUACGCCAUCUCAGCCUUUUCCUCCCUUGCCAUCUCCUCGCCCACCUUCUUUGCCCUUUCCAUUUCCACCCCUCUCACCAACCCCAUCUCUUUUCCAUCCAACGCCUCCACCAGCAUUUAAUCUAGGAAAUCCAAGGACAUGGAUACCGAAUACCCCUUCAUUAGCACCUCCACCACCACCUGAAUUUAAUCUAAGAGAUCCCAGAACUUGGAUACCAUACAUCCCUCCAUCCCCACCUAAUAACCCUCAGAACCAAAAUCCAUGAUAUUCUGCUCCAGUUAUCUCCAAAUUCAUGUUUCAUAUGUUAUAUUUCAUAAUUAUAUGAAGCUUCUAUGUAUGAUGAAAAACAGAUUAGUAUAGGAAUACAAUGUAAUCCAUUAAUCCCUUAAUGAUAUAAUUACAGCUACCAUUGACUUUCUGUAAAUAAAUCAUC